rnacentral:rRNA from 1 species
UAGAUUCCUUCAUCGCCAUGGUGGGGGGUGGAAAAGCUUUAUUGUGGUUUUGGAUGGACUCGCGGCCUUUUCAGCUUGUUGGUGAGGUAAUGGCUCAACCAAGGCGACGACGGGUAGCCGGCCCUGAGAGGGUGACCGGCCCCCACUGGGACUGAGACACGGCCCCAGACUCCUACGGGAGGCAGCAGUGGGGAAUAUUGCACAAUGGGCGCAAGCCUGAUGCAGCGACGCCGCGUGAGGGAUGACGGCCUUCCGGGUUGUAAACCUCUUUCAGUAGGGAAGAAGCGAAAGUGACGGUACCUGCAGAAGAAGCGCCGGCUAACUACGUGCCAGCAGCCGCGGUAAUACGUAGGGCGCAAGCGUUAUCCGGAAUUAUUGGGCGUAAAGAGCUCGUAGGCGGUUUGUCGCGUCUGCCGUGAAAGUCCGGGGCUCAACUCCGGAUCUGCGGUGGGUACGGGCAGACUAGAGUGAUGUAGGGGAGACUGGAAUUCCUGGUGUAGCGGUGAAAUGCGCAGAUAUCAGGAGGAACACCGAUGGCGAAGGCAGGUCUCUGGGCAUUAACUGACGCUGAGGAGCGAAAGCAUGGGGAGCGAACAGGAUUAGAUACCCUGGUAGUCCAUGCCGUAAACGUUGGGCACUAGGUGUGGGGGACAUUCCACGUUUUCCGCGCCGUAGCUAACGCAUUAAGUGCCCCGCCUGGGGAGUACGGCCGCAAGGCUAAAACUCAAAGGAAUUGACGGGGGCCCGCACAAGCGGCGGAGCAUGCGGAUUAAUUCGAUGCAACGCGAAGAACCUUACCAAGGCUUGACAUGGGCCGGACCGGGCUGGAAACAGUCCUUCCCCUUUGGGGCCGGUUCACAGGUGGUGCAUGGUUGUCGUCAGCUCGUGUCG